GCCAGGCCCGCAGCCAGGACCGGAGCCAGGCCCGGAGACGCGGCCCGAAGACGCGGCGGAAGACGCUGUGGCACCGUCAACAUCAGCGCCAUCAUUUUCUACGUUUAAACGAGUGAAAACAUACCGGAGAGCAACAGUAACAGAAAAAAAACUGAAUGCCUUUGCCCUGUUGGCAAUUGAGAAUAGAUUUACAACCUCCCUGGAUUUUGAAGACAUUAUAGAGGACUUUGCCUCAUCAAAACUCAGGAGAAAGCAUCUGUAAAUAUCGUGAUGAUGCUGUCAAGAUGUGUUUCUACUGCAAUGGAGGCCUGUGGUGCUGGAAGGCUGAAGAUUAUCCCUGAGUGGAGCAUGCUAAAUGAGAGUGUUGGAAAAUUGAAGAUAGGUGAUGCUUGUCCAUGAAAAUAAACAUCUUUACCACUACAGCACACUUUCUCUGACUGCAUAUUUUAUUAGUCUUUGUAUAUUUGACAACUUAUUUAACUAUUCAAUUUAAUUAACACAUUUAAUUAAGAUUUUCUGCAAAAUGCAAUAGCUUACUACAUUUAUCUUUUUUGCUCUGUUUACAUAGCAAUGCUGACACAGUGACACCUAUUGGUGAUUUACUGGGACUACUGCCUUAACAAUGACACUGGCAAUGGAUAAGAUAAGGAUAAUUUAAUAGCAUUUAAUAGAGCCGUGUAAUAACGUAUAAAUAAUAAAAAUCAAAAAAUAGUCUGAUAGACUGUUUA